rnacentral:rRNA from 6 species
GAAUGCUGACAUAAGUAACGAUAAAGCGGGUGAAAAGCCCGCUCGCCGGAAGACCAAGGGUUCCUGUCCAACGUUAAUCGGGGCAGGGUGAGUCGACCCCUAAGGCGAGGCCGAAAGGCGUAGUCGAUGGGAAACGGGUUAAUAUUCCCGUACUUGGUGUUACUGCGAAGGGGGGACGGAGAAGGCUAUGUUGGCCGGGCGACGGUUGUCCCGGUUUAAGCGUGUAGGUGUGUGUUCCAGGUAAAUCCGGUUCACUUUAACACUGAGGCGUGACGACGAGGCACUACGGUGCUGAAGCAACAAAUGCCCUGCUUCCAGGAAAAGCCUCUAAGCAUCAGGUAACAUCAAAUCGUACCCCAAACCGACACAGGUGGUCAGGUAGAGAAUACCAAGGCGCUUGAGAGAACUCGGGUGAAGGAACUAGGCAAAAUGGUGCCGUAACUUCGGGAGAAGGCACGCUGACAUGUAGGUGAAGUGAUUUACUCA